CAAUGGGCGCAGCCUGAUGCAGCGACGCCGCGUGCGGGAUGACGGCCUUCUUNUNUNGUAAACCGGGNNAAGACUGGGAGCAAGCCCUUCGGGGUGAGUUNACCUUUCGAAUAAGCACCGGCUAACUACGUGCCAGCAGCCGCGGUAAUACGUAGGGUGCAAGCGUUAUCCGGAAUUAUUGGGCGUAAAGGGCUCGUAGGCGGUUCGUCGCGUCCGGUGUGAAAGUCCAUCGCUUAACGGUGGAUCCGCGCCGGGUACGGGCGGGCUUGAGUGCGGUAGGGGAGACUGGAAUUCCCGGUGUAACGGUGGAAUGUGUAGAUAUCGGGAAGAACACCAAUGGCGAAGGCAGGUCUCUGGGCCGUCACUGACGCUGAGGAGCGAAAGCGUGGGGAGCGAACAGGAUUAGAUACCCUGGUAGUCCAAGGGCGAAUUC
rnacentral:rRNA from 1 species